rnacentral:rRNA from 1 species
UUUUUUGAGAGUUUGAUCUUAGCUCAGGAUGAAUGCUGGCGACGUGGAUAAGGCAUGCAAGUCGAGUGGGUUUAGACCCACGGCGAACGAGGUAGUAACACGUGGGAAUCUCCCUUCGAGUUUGGCAUAACCCGCCGAAAGGCGGAAUAAUUCCAAAUAGUCCCUUCGGGGUAAAGGCGUAAGCCGCUUGAAGAAGAGCCUGCGGAAUAUCAGCUAGUUGGUAAGGUAAUGGCUUACCAAGGCAAUGACGUUUAGGGGAGGUGAGAGCCUGACCCCCACCGAUGGUACUGAGACACGGACCAUACACCUACGGGUGGCUGCAGUCGAGAAUCUUCCGCAAUGGGCGAAAGCCUGACGGAGCGACGUCGCGUGAUUGAUGAAGUCCUUAGGGACGUAAAGAUCUUUUAUGAGGGAAGAAAACCAUUUAUUGGAUAUGACGGUACCUCAUGAAUAAGGACCUGCUAAACUCGUGCCAGCAGCAGCGGUAAUACGAGUGGUCCAAGCAUUAUCCGGAUUUAUUGGGCGUAAAGGGUGUGUAGGUGGUUUUGUUAGUCUUUUGUUAAAACUUCGGGCUCAACCCGAAAGCUGCGAAAGAAACGGCAAAACUAGAGGGGGUGAGAGGCUUGUAGAACUCAUGGUGUAGGGGUGAAAUCCGUUGAUAUCAUGGGGAAUACCAAAGGCGAAGGCAGCAAGCUGGCGCCCACCUGACACUGAAACACGAAAGCGUGGGGAUCGAACGGGAUUAGAUACCCCGGUAGUCCACGCCCUAAACGAUGAUCACUAGCUUUUCGGAGUAUCGACCCUCUGAGAGGCGAAGCUAACGCGUUAAGUGAUCCGCCUGGGAAGUACGGCCGCAAGGCUAAAACUCAAAAGAAUAGACGGGGACUCGCACAAGCAGUGGAUCAUGCGGUUUAAUUCGACGAUAAACGAAGAACCUUACCAGGGUUUGAAACCCAAAUGAAAGCCCAGCGAAAGUUGGGAACUCUCACAAGGACAUUUGGGCAGGUGAUGCAUGGCUGUCGUCAGUUCGUGGUUUGAAUUGUUCCCUUAAGUGGGGUAACGAACGCAACCCUUGUCGUCUGUUAUAUUUGUCAGACGAGACUGUCCUGUUUAACAGGAAGGAAGCGAGGAUGACGCCAAGUCAGCAUGUCCCUUUGACAUCCUGGGCUACACGCAUGAUACAAUCGCCGUUACAAUAGGUCGCGACGGGGAAACCCUGAGCUAAUCCUAAAAGGCGGCGCCAGUUCGGAUUGAGGUCUGCAACUCGACCUCAUGAAGCCGGAAUUGCUAGUAAUCGCAGGUCAGCUAUACUGCGGUGAAUACGUUCUCGAGUCUUGUACUC